GUCUACGGCCAUGCCACCCUGAAUGCGCCCGAUCCCGUCUGAUCCCAGAAGCUAAGCAGGAUUGGGACUGGUUAGUACUUGGAUGGGAGACCACCUGGGAAUACUGGGUGCUU
rnacentral:rRNA from 1 species